rfam:Clostridium sp. CAG:813 genomic scaffold, scf209
GGGCUUAUAGCUCAGUUGGUAGAGCAGUUGACUCUUAAUCAAUUGGUCGUGGGUUCGAGUCCCACUGAGCCCA